rnacentral:rRNA from 1 species
AGAGGAGCCUGUUCUAUAAUCGAUAAUCCCCGAUAAACCUCACCACCUAUUGCCAAUACAGCCUAUAUACCACCGUCCAGCCCGCCCUUUAAAGGAUAAACAGCAGGCAUAAUUAUAAACAUUAAAACGUCAGGUCAAGGUGUAGCAGAUAAGGUGGAAAGAAAUGGGCUACAUUUUCUAACUUAGAAAACACGGAUGAUUCUAUGAAAUAGUUUCUGAAGGAGGAUUUAGCAGUAAAAAGAAACAAGAAUGUUCUUUUUAAGACGGCAAUAAAGCGCGCACACACCGCCCGUCACCCUC